UGGGCUAAUUGAAGUUACGAUUUACAACUUUAUAAUUCAGUGAAUGUGGCACUAGAAAAGCACUUAACACAUUUUAAUAGAGAUUCAAAUCCUAUACAAUUGUUUUUACACUAAAUAAAAAUCCCCUUUCCCCCUUCCCUCCUUUAGUUACGCUCCUUCACGAUUGUAGGGCAACAGACGCGCGGCCGCCGAAGUGAGAAUGCAUUUAUGUGGCUUGCGAAUUUUUUGUGUGUUUUAUAUGAAAAAUACAGAAGAUCAAUGGUAAGUCAAUUUCAUACCUAAAUAUGACAGACCGACCAAAUCUAGUUGCUGCGAAAGGUUGAAUAUCUCUUUGUGGUGUCUUAUACUGUGAUAUGGUGCAGGUUCCUUUAUUCAGUAAUAAUGUCUAUUACCGAUUGAACAGUGCCUUAUUGUCGCAGACGAAUUCUUCGAGCUGCCGCCGCCGCCAUCGCCGGGGUCCCGUGACGAAAAAGAUACGCGGUACUGGCCCAAAAGUCAAGAUGACAAAACGUCGAGUGAGGAAGGAGGAAUUAAAACCGAUACAAGACAUUGGCUAAAACCGAUACAAGGCAUUAC